GACCAUCAUGCCUCAUCAGAUAUUGUUGUCUCCAGGAUGAUGGGGACCAAAGAGGUGUGAAUGUCAAGGAAUUCAGAAAGCAAAAAAAUCUAAAUCAAACCACUGUUUGGAACCUCAUUAAAAAAGAAGAAAUUAACCCAAACAACUAGCUGGCAGGUGAUGACUUCCUGGUUUCGGCUUAGAGAAUAUACACAUACAGGGCAAAUAGUCGAUCACAGAUCGCAACAAACCGCUUCGGAUGAGAGAACACAUCCUGUGGCUAAAAUGACACUCAGGCGUUUAUUACUACGGGUAGCAAGCGACAACAGGAUUCGAAGUCGGUCUAUGUUCACGGCUAGAAA